rnacentral:lncRNA from 1 species
CCGAUGAGUACUAGCUUGAAGUUAGGUCGUGAUCCUUCUGGUAAGAGUGUAGAUCCUUCCCUAUAUCGUAGCAUGAUAGGUAGUCUUCUCUAUCUUACAGCUACUAGGCCCGACAUUGCUUUUAGUGUAGGAGUGUGUGCUCGUUUUCAGGCAGAUCCAAAAGAGUCACACCUAAGUUCUGUUAGACGAAUCAUUCGAUAUGUGAGUGGUACUGCGGAUCUAGGGAUUUUCUAUUCUAGGAGUUCCAAUCUUGACUUGGCUGGAUACUCCGACGCCGAUUGGGCCGGAAAUGCAGAUGAUAGGAAAAGUACGACCGGGGGUUGUUUUUACAUGGGUAGCAAUCUCGUAGCUUGGCUAAGUAAGAAACAAAACUCAAUAUCCU